rnacentral:ncRNA from 2 species
UUAAUCCUUCAGGGCAGGGUGAAAAUCCCGACCGGCGGUAAAGUCCGCGAGCUAUUUUUAGCAGGAACUGGUGAAAUUCCAGUACCGACAGUAAAGUCUGGAUGGAAGAAGGGAAGU